rnacentral:rRNA from 1 species
UGGGGAAUUUUGGACAAUGGGCGAAAGCCUGAUCCAGCAAUGCCGCGUGUGUGAAGAAGGCCUUCGGGUUGUAAAGCACUUUUGUCCGGAAAGAAAUCCUCUGGGUUAAUACCUCGGGGGGAUGACGGUACCGGAAGAAUAAGCACCGGCUAACUACGUGCCAGCAGCCGCGGUAAUACGUAGGGUGCAAGCGUUAAUCGGAAUUACUGGGCGUAAAGCGUGCGCAGGCGGUUUUGUAAGACGGAUGUGAAAUCCCCGGGCUUAACCUGGGAACUGCAUUCGUGACUGCAAGGCUAGAGUAUGGCAGAGGGGGGUAGAAUUCCACGUGUAGCAGUGAAAUGCGUAGAGAUGUGGAGGAAUACCGAUGGCGAAGGCAGCCCCCUGGGCCAAUACUGACGCUCAUGCACGAAAGCGUGGGGAGCAAACAGGAUUAGAUACCCUGGUAGUCCACGCCCUAAACCGAUGUCAACUAGUUGUUGGGGAUUCAUUUCCUUAGUAACGUAGCUAACGCGUGAAGUUGACCGCCUGGGGGAGUACGGUCGCAAGAUUAAAACUCAAAUGAAUUGACGGGGUCAUAGCUG